UACAGAGGGUGCGAGCGUUGUCCGGAAUCACUGGGCGUAAAGGCGCGUAGGUGGCCACCAUAAGGCCGCGGUGAAAGUUCGGGCUCAACCUGAAUCGGCCGCGGCGACUGUGGCUUGGUACCGUAGAGGCAGAUGAUUCCGGUGUAGCGUGAAUGCGUAGAGAUCCGGAAGACACCAGUGCGAAGCGUCUGCUGCGUGAUCGAAGUCUCUUACGACACUGAGCGCGACAGCGUGGAGCAAC
rnacentral:rRNA from 1 species